rnacentral:ncRNA from 1 species
CAUCGUGAGGUGAAAUCUGAAGGAAGCUGGGGACAAACAUCUGGCCUAACGAACAGAAACUUCAUAUAAGGCAUAUAAUCAUGGGCAAGUUCGCAGCACAAACCAAAGCCCGAUAGCUAUUUGGAAUGGUUGGUGUAAAUGAAGUAAGUAUAAGAUGGAAAGAUAAU